AGCGAACGCUGGCGGCAGGCUUAACACAUGCAAGUCGAGCGGGCAUCUUCGGAUGUCAGCGGCAGACGGGUGAGUAACACGUGGGAACGUACCCCUCGGUUCGGAACAACUCUGGGAAACUGGAGCUAAUACCGGAUACGCCCUUAUGGGGAAAGGUUUACUGCCGAAGGAUCGGCCCGCGUCUGAUUAGCUAGUUGGUGGGGUAACGGCCUGCCAAGGCGACGAUCAGUAGCUGGUCUGAGAGGAUGAUCAGCCACACUGGGACUGAGACACGGCCCAGACUCCUACGGGAGGUAGCAGUGGGGAAUAUUGGACAAUGGGCGCAAGCCUGAUCCAGCCAUGCCGCGUGAGUGAUGAAGGCCUUAGGGUUGUAAAGCUCUUUUGUCCGGGACGAUAAUGACGGUACCGGAAGAAUAAGCCCCGGCUAACUUCGUG
rnacentral:rRNA from 1 species